AGUUGUCCAGGUGGAGGCUUUUUGUGGAGGCACCUGGCAGGCAAUGAAUGUGGGAAGGAGUGGGGUUGCUUCUAACCCACUCUAGGGCCCAUACUUAGAUAUAUGACUAAAAACAAUAGAUUCAUCAAGGUAAUAGAUAGAUAAUGGAAUCAGCCAACACAAGUAUUAGAGGCAGGGUAUUUUGAAAAACAAAGGGGGCUGUGGUUUUCAGUAUUAUGUCUUUCUGUUUGGAGAUACUUGGUGGGUGGGUCCUUGGUACAAGAAUUUCC
rnacentral:lncRNA from 1 species